rnacentral:rRNA from 1 species
GACGAACGCUGGCGGCGUGCCUAAUACAUGCAAGUUGAGCGAUGAAGAUUGGUGCUUGCCCCAAUUUGAAGAGCAGCGAACGGGUGAGUAACGCGUGGGGAAUCUGCCUUUGAGCGGGGGACAACAUUUGGAAACGAAUGCUAAUACCGCAUAACAACUUUAAACAUAAGUUUUAAGUUUGAAAGAUGCAAUUGCAUCACUCAAAGAUGAUCCCGCGUUGUAUUAGCUAGUUGGUGAGGUAAAGGCUCACCAAGGCGAUGAUACAUAGCCGACCUGAGAGGGUGAUCGGCCACAUUGGGACUGAGACACGGCCCAAACUCCUACGGGAGGCAGCAGUGGGGAAUCUUCGGCAAUGGACGAAAGUCUGACCGAGCAACGCCGCGUGAGUGAAGAAGGUUUUCGGAUCGUAAAACUCUGUUGGUAGAGAAGAACGUUGGUGAGAGUGGAAAGCUCAUCAAGUGACGGUAACUACCCAGAAAGGGACGGCUAACUACGUG